GGGGGCGAAAGGUCUCGACGGGGGUUAUGAGGCUCAGAUGGCAUGCCGUGGCUCCAUCACCACGUAAAAAGAUGGAACAAACACAAAAGCCAACAACGAACUGGCACUCGCCGCUUAAUAAAAAGCGGCAAGUCCAGCCGGGAAUGUCCGCGGCCCGGCCGGACUUAGAUAGCGGGCUGAAGCUUCCGGUUGGCCUCCUUCCGGAAGACGAAAAAUCAAACGGGGGGAUAGGCGAGCGCAUGGCGCGGCCGUUCGCAGGGCGCGAGCCGAAACUUCAAAUAGACGGCCUAAGCAUGUAGAAGUCUGAACGUAGUGCUUCCGGACGCGGGUUCGAUUCCCGCCGCCUCCACCA
rnacentral:tmRNA from 1 species